ensembl:snoRNA
GCAGACUCACUCUGUACUUGACUGCCUUCCUCAGUCUUGCUGCUUUUCCAGUCUGCUAGAGAAGCGCCCCACGGUGUUGCAAACCCCUUUCUCUAGUGAAAGGCCUCUGCAACUGCCUGGGAAACACCCAC